GGCAUUUGGAGAUAUUUAUGAGUGCGUAUAUAUACGCACUCAUAAAUAUCGCCAAAUG
rnacentral:pre_miRNA from 1 species